GUUCUUGUUUCAUGUUUCAGAUGUUUUCUUGACCUGCUUUACAUUUGUAUCUUGCUCUUGAAUCCCAGGCCUCAAAACUGAAUAUUGGCUUUGUUAUGCUUAAUUUUACUGUUUUAUGGUGGUUUUUUUUGCCCACGUGAUUAUGGCAAAUAGUUAACAUUCAGCACAUUUUAAACUUUUUUUUUUUUUUCAUAGAAUUACAGAAAGUCAGGGAUUGGAAGGGACCUCAAAAGCUCAUCCAGUCCAAUCCCCCUGCCAGAGCAGGAACACCUAGAUGAAGUUACAGAGGAAGGCGUCCAGAGUAGAAGACAUUUUAAUCCUUAUAUGUCUUGAUACUUGCUUGUGUCAUCUAGAUAAUCCCUCUGGGUCAGCCCAGCUGGGCAGAUGAGUUGUACCAAGGCUGUUUCACCUGUCCAGUCUGGCAGCUGGGCACUGGGUGGCAGUGACCAUCAGCGAUCGCUAACAGGAUGAAAACACAGGCUACCUGAUAAACAUGGUCUGAGCUCGCUGUAUCCUUUUCCUUAUCAUCUGGCUCAUUACUGGAGGAAGGGAUCACUUCUGGUUCCUGCCAAACCUCACAGCAGAUGUGGGAUUCAUUGACUCCUUCAGGGCC